rfam:Bacillus sp. FJAT-27997 Scaffold1, whole genome shotgun sequence.
UUUGUCCUUCGGGGUCGGGUGUAAAUCCCAACCGGCGGUGAUGAAGAAAUUCUAAGCCCGCGAGCCUGUAAAAAGGCAGGAUUUGGUGAAAUUCCAAGGCCGACAGUAUAGUCUGGAUGGGAGAAGGACAUA